rnacentral:rRNA from 1 species
GGGCCCGCACAAGCAGCGGAGCAUGUGGUUUAAUUCGAAGCAACGCGAAGAACCUUACCAGGGCUUGACAUCUCCUGAAUACCCUAGAGAUAGGGGAAGCCCCUCGGGGCAGGAAGACAGGUGGUGCAUGGUUGUCGUCAGCUCGUGUCGUGAGAUGUUGGGUUAAGUCCCGCAACGAGCGCAACCCUUGUCAUUAGUUGCUAACAUUAAGGUGAGCACUCUAAUGAGACUGCCGGGGACAACUCGGAGGAAGGUGGGGAUGACGUCAAAUCAUCAUGCCCCUUAUGUCCUGGGCUACACACGUGCUACAAUGGCUAGAACAAAGAGAAGCGAAACAGUGAUGUGGAGCAAAUCUUAAAAACUAGUCCCAGUUCGGAUUGAUGGCUGCAACCCGCCAUCAUGAAGCCGGAGUUGCUAGUAAUCGCGAAUCAGCAUGUCGCGGUGAAUACGUUCCCGGGCCUU